rnacentral:misc_RNA from 1 species
GAUGAAGAACGCAGCGAAAUGCGACAAGUAAUGUGAAUUGCAGAAUUCCGUGAAUCAUCGAAUCUUUGAACGCACAUUGCGCCCUCUGGUAUUCUGGAGGGCAUGCCUGUCCGAGCGUCAUUGCUGCCCUCAAGCACGGCUUGUGUGUUGGGCCUCCGUCCUCCUCCCGGGGGACGGGCCCGAAAGGCAGCGGCGGCACCGCGUCCGGUCCUCGAGCGUAUGGGGCUUCGUCACCCGCUCUUGUAGGCCCGGCCGGCGCUUGCCGACACAUCAAUCUUUUUUCCAGGUUGACCUCGGAUCAGGUAGGGAUACCCGCUGAACUUAAGCAUAUCAAUAAGCGGAGGA